rnacentral:rRNA from 1 species
ACGGGGUGCAGCAGGCGCGAAACCUCCACAAUUCACGCAAGUGAGAUGGGGUUACCUCGAGUGCUAUCUGAAGAAGGUGGCUUUUCCAUGGUGUAAUGAGCCGUGGGAAUAAGGGGGGGGCAAGACUGGUGUCAGCCGCCGCGGUAACACCAGCCCCCCGAGUGGUGGGGAUGAUUAUUUGGCCUAAAGCGUCCGUAGCCAGCUCGGUAAAUCUCUCGUUAAAUCCAGCGUCCUAAGCGUUGGGCUGCGAGGGGAACUGCCGAACUAGAGGGUGGGAGAGGUCAGCGGUAUUCCUGGGGUAGGGGCGAAAUCCAUUGAUCCCAGGAGGACCACCAGUGGCGAAGGCUGCUGACUAGAACACGCCUGACGGUGAGGGACGAAAGCUGGGGUAGCGAAUCGGAUUAGAUACCCGAGUAGUCCCAGCCGUAAACGAUGCAGGCUAGGUGUUGGGUCGGCCAUGCGCCGCCUCAGUGCCACAGGGAAGCCAUUAAGCCUGCCGCCUGGGAGUACG